CCCCCCCGGCCAGGCUGAUGAAAGGUUCCGGAUUUGAGGGCUUGGAGGGGGGGGGGUGUGGCAGAGGAUCAAACGAGGGGGAAGGGGUCGGGGGGAGCUGGGACCCUGGUGUGUCUUGGUGCCGCACACGCCCUAGAGAGAAGGAGCCACGGCAGGGAGGGAGAUGCCAGACAGCCCCCCCAUUUCCCGUGUGUGGGGGUGAAGCGCAAAGACCCCCAGGGGAAACUCGCCCCAGUGCCCACGUCUCCAGCUGGGCGCUAAACCCCCCUCUCUUCCCCCAUCCCCUGCCACAGAGCCUCCAGAGGGACCGGUCCGUACAGCCACCCCCGGGGCUGGGCACACCCCCCUGCCAGGGCUCCGGCAGGCAGGAUUCGACAAGGCCGAUAAAAUGCCCCUCUCCACCACGUGCCAGCCUGCGAGCCAGGGCCUUUUUCAUCCAAGCGAAUCACAGGUGACGAUUCGCGCGCCUCGGGCGCCCGUCCGCUGGCCCAGCGCUGCGAGCCCGGCUGGGAAGGGCCCUCGCCCCGGCCCCGGCCCUGGGAACGGCGAAAAGGAGCUGCCGGCCGGAGGCGGUGUCUGAAUCGCCCUCCAUUUAUGGAUUCCCUUCCCAGCGCCGGCAGAUUUGACAGCUCAGCGGUUUCGGGGAAGAACAAGGCAACUUGAGACUGUUUCUCCCUCGAGAUGAAAAGAAUUACAGCACCUGACCUCACCAACACACACACGGCAGCCACACAAACACACACACACACAUGCCAGACACACACCUAGACACACGCACAGAGACACACAGAUACGUCAACCACACAGUCACACACACCAGCCACACACACACACACAGACACACACACCAGCCACACACACACACAGACACACACAUGCCAGACACACACCUAGACACACACACAGAGACACACAGAGACACACAGAUACGUCAACCACACAGUCACACACACCAGCCACACACACACACAGACACACACAUGCCAGCCACACACACACACAGAAACACACAGACACACACACAUGCCAGCCACACACACACACACAGUCACACACACCAGCCACAGACACACACAGACACACACACAUGCCAGCCACACACACACACACAGUCACACACACCAGCCACAGACACACACACACACACACACACACACACAGACACACACACCAGCCACACAGACACACUCCAGCUACACAGAGACACACACACCAGACACACACACACAUCAGCCACACACAGACGUCAGCUACAUGGAGACACACACACACACAGAGCAGCCACACAGACACACACACCCCCAGCUACACAGAGAAACACACACACACCAGCCACACACACACCAGCCACACACAUACACACGUCAGCCACACAAAGACACAGAGACACACACACACACGCCAGCCACACACACACAGAAACACACACACACACAUAGACACCCCCCCAGCUAAACAGACAGACACACACACGUCAGCUACACAGAGACACACGCCAACCACACACACAGAGACACACACACUACCCCCCCCCACAGCCACACGUCAGCCACACAGAGACACACACACACAGAGACACACACACGUCAGCUACACAGAGACACACACCAACCACACACACACACACCCCAGCCCCUCCGACACACGCCAGCCACACAGAGACACACACACACACCCCAGCCAGAGCAGCCAGAGGGGAAAAUAAAUAUUCCCGGGGGUGUCGUUUUCACAGCAACCCAGCGACCCAAGGGGGCGAACGCCUCCCCAGUAACUGCUCCCGCCCCCAGCGAUUCGAUGCCCCCGAGCCCGGCUCCGCCAGCAGCGAUUGGGGAACCCGGACGAGCCCCCGGGGUCGCUUUGCCGCGCCUGUUUGUGACGUGCGGGCACCCGUGUUGUCAGCCCCUGUGCUGUGAUGUCACUGUUGCUCAGACAGCCUCUGCCCUACACGGCUUGGGUCCCAGGAGAGUUGGGCGCCUACAGGCCUUUGAGUGCCUGGGCCUUACUGUCUAAACAGACAAGCCAGAGGAAGGGUGGGAGGGGAAACUGAGGCAGGGAGCGGGGCAGCGACUUGCCCAUGGUCACACAGGAGGUCUUUGGGAGAGCCAGGAAUAGAACCCAGGAGUCCUGGCGGCCUGCUCAGGGCCCUACCCACUAGGCUGUAAGAGCUGGGAUUCCAUCCGCCAUGAGUAGAGGGCAGCCCAUGGGGGAUGGAUCAUUAAACACAAGGGGGAAACAUACGGGAAGCAGGAGAAGGCGGGGGUCUGCGUGCCUCUGUUUCCCUACAUGGGGCCUCUCCCUGCCCCCCCACUCCAGGUUCGCACGGGGAUCCACCCCACAUGGGCUGAACCCAACCCCGAUUUAAAUGAGGCCCGCGAGGACGGAUCCGCUAGCCCACUGUGUGCAUGCGGAGGGGUAAACGGGACUGCAUUGCUCCCCCCGCAACCCCGAUCCAGACGCGGCCCCGCAAUGCCACCACCCAGAGCCAGCCGCUGGCUCAUACAUAAAGAAGAGGUGUCGGGGGGAAAAUGAACCCGUCCCAGGGUGACGGGCCAGGGCACGCGGCGGGACAGGAGCCACCAGAGAAAAGGAUGACAGGAAACGGGCGCUGUGAAUCCCGGCCCCUGCCCCAACCCAGCUCCCUGCUGAUUACUGUGACGUGCGGCGAUGCCCCGAACAAGCACCUGGCUGCACCCUGGCCCAGGGGAGUUCGCCCCGUUCCCAGCUCAGCCAGGGUUUCACGGCACCGGCAGGGUGGGAGGAGCGCCCCGUUCCCUGCAUUCCCAAGCCUCUUGCCCCGGCCCCUCGGGGGUUUCCGGGUGCGGUUCUGCUGUGAUGGGAAAUGGGGGGGCCGGCGCUGUGACAAAGUGGGACUGUUCUUAAUGUUUUCUCUGAAUAGUGUGGGGGUGCCUCAGUUUCCCCUAGGCAGUUCUUAAGUCUCUAGGUGGUGGGAUAAGAGUGUAUGAUCAUUGCAGAGCCCUAGAGGGCAGGUGUGUGCAGGGAUCUGGACACAGAGAAUGGCCGACACCCUGUUUCCUGGCACCUGGUGACCUGGGCCCUUCCCCCCUGCAAGGUGAGAGCUGAAGGGUUGGAGAACAAAGGAAUCCGGUGACCUCCUGGCCCGGGAAAGGGACAAAGCCCAGAGGAGGGGGGGCUGGAGGGAGUUUCAGUUUGGGGCUGGCUGGGACAUGGAGUUAAGGGCAGACGGGGUUGUCUGGCUCACUGCCCCCCAAAAUGGACCCAGCUGAGGGGUCCCGUUCUCUGCGCCUACAAGCUCUGUUUUAGACCAUGUUCCUGUCGUCUAA